GUCGCGGUAAUACUGAGGAGGCAAACGUUAAUCAUUAAUGGCUUAAAGGAUCCGUAGAACGAAUAAAAAAAUAUAGAGUUAAAAGAAAUAAAUAAUGUAUAAUUAUAAUGAGAGAUGAAAUGCAAUGAAAAUAAUUAGACAGCUAAAACUGAAGAGAAUAUUUAUAAUUUAACUGACGUUGAGGGAUGAAAGCAUAAGUAAUAAACCGGAUUAGAUACCCGAGUAAUUUAUGCUGUAAACGAUGAAUACUAAUAUAAAAAGAUAUAUAAAAAAGCGAAAGUAAAGUAUUCCGCCAGGUGAGUAUAUUCGCAAGGAUGAAAUCCAAGACAAUAGACGGUUACAGGUGUAGGCAGUGGAGCAUGUUAUUUAAUUCGAUAAUCCCCGAUAAAUCUUACCAUUAUUUGAAUAUAAUAAAAUUAAUAAAAUAAAUAUUAAUUAUUUUAUACAAAUGUUACAUCGUUGUUUUAAGUUUGUGCUUUAAGGUUAUGAUUAACUUCAUAAACAGACAAAAUUCCAUAUAUUAAAUUUUGAAUUAAUAUAUUAAUUCUUUGAUUUAAGAUAAAGAAUUAUAUAAUGGAACUACAACAAAUCAUGAUGACUUUAAUAUAAUGGGCUAAAGACGCAAUACAAAAUAUUAUUAAUAAAAUUAAAUUAAAUUUAUAUAUUUUAAUAAUUAAUAUAAAUUAAUAUAUUUAAUAUAUUUUUAUAAAUAUAUUUUAUGUGAAUUAAUUUCUGAAAUUCGUUAUUAUGAAAAAGGAAUUGCUAGUAAUCAUAAUUCAUUAAAUUAUGGUGAAAUUUAUCCCUGUUUCGUACUAAUUACUCAUCAUUCGCCAGAAAGUGUUAUAAUUUUAAAUGUAUUAUUUUUACCUCUUAUUUACCUUUUUUAUAAUUUCUAUUAAUAUACUCUUUAAUUAUUCGCUGACUGGUGAGAAGUUGAAAUACAGUUACUGAG
rnacentral:rRNA from 1 species